CUAGGAGAGGGAUGGGAAACCCUGCUAAUAGACAUAUACAGUGCCUUCAGAAAGUAUUCAGACCGUUUGACUUUUUCCACAUAUUGAAUUUCUCCCCCCCCUCCCCUAAAUCUACACACAAUGACGAAGCAAAAAGAGGUUUAGACAUUUUUACUUAUUUAAAUCAAUCUAAAGCUGAAAUAUCACAUUUACAUUCAGAUAAUGUAUUCAGAUAAUUUACUCAGUACUUUGUUGAAGCACCUUCGGCAGUGAUUACAGCCUGGGGUAUGACGCUACAAGCUUGGCACACCUGUAUUUGGGGAGUUUCUCCUAUUCUUCUCUGCAGAUCCUCUCAAGCUCUGUCUGGUUGGAUGGGGAGCGUUGCUGCUCAGGUAUUUUCAGGUCUCUCCAGUGAUGUUUGAUCGGAUUCAAGUCCAGGCUCUGGUUGGGCCACUCAACGACAUUGAGAAUUGUCCCGAAGCCCCUCCUGCGUUUUCUUGGCUGUGUGCUUAAGGUCGUUGAGCGCUCUGGAGCAGGUUUUCAUCAGGGAUCACUCCAUUCAUCUUUGCCUCGAUCCUGACUAGUCUCCCAGUCGCUGCCACUGAAAAACAUCCCCACAGCAUGAUUGUUCCUCAUGGUCUGAGAGUUUUUAGGCGCCUUUUGGCAAACUCUAAGUGGGCUGUCAUGUGCCUUUUACUGAGGAGUGGAUUCUGUCUGGCAACCAUAUUGGCCUGAUUGGUGGAGUGCUGCAGAGAUUGGAGAACCUUCCAGAAGGACAACCAUCUCCACAGAGGAACCCUGGAGCUCUGUUACCUCCCCGCCCUUCUCUCCCGAUUGCUCAGUUUGGCUAGGCAGCCAGCUCUAGGAAGAGUCUUGGUGGUUCCAAAAACUUAUUCCAUUUAAGAAUGAUGGAGGCUACUGUGUUCUUGGGGACCUUCACUGAUGCAGAAAUGUUUUGGUAGCCUUCCCCAGAUCUCUGCCUUGACACAAUCCUGUCUCGGAGCUCUACGGACAAUUACUUCGACCUCAUGGCUUGGUUUUUGCUCCGACAUGCACUGUCAACUGUGGGACAUUAUAUAGACCGGUGUGUGCCUUUCCAAUUUCAAUUACCACAGGUGGACUCCAAUCAAGUUGUAGAAACAUCUCAAGGAUGAUCAAUGGAAACAGGAAGCACCUGAGCUCAAUUUCAAGUCUCAUAGCAAAGGGUCUGAAUACUUAUGUAAAUACGGUAUCAGUUUUUUACAUUUUAAUACAUUUGCAAAAUUGUUUUAAAAAAUGUUGUUUUCACUUUGUCAUUAUGGGAUAUUGUGUAAAUUGCUGAGGAUGUGUAUUUAUUUAAUUCAAUUUAGAAUAAGGCUGUAACGUAACAAAAUGUGGAAAAAACCAAGGGGUCUGAAUACUUUCCGAAGACACCCGUUAUUUUAUUUUCUUGGUGGUCUUCAUCAAUAACCGUUGGUUACACGGUUAUACGGUAAUUGUGCCAGCCCUAGUUUAAAGUGAGGCUACACAAAUGGCUAAGUGUCCAGAAAUCAACCAUCGUGUAGAAGAGCAACGAGACAGCGGACAGUCAAAGGAGCCAAUGAUACGUAUUGAAAAUGGUCUUUCCCGUUGAAGCUAUACUAACGUAACAACUGUCUUCGAGCUGUCUGCUAAGGUACAUGCAUCCUGUACAAUUUCCUGAGAGGGGGGAAAAGGGGAAUGUUCCAGAAAAAGAGAGUGAGAAAGAGAGAGCAAGAGAUAGGAGAGACGCGGGAUGAGUAUAAUCCAGGGAACAGAUGUUGGGAGCCCAUUGGAGAGUGUGCAGUGAGCUGGGGAUAUGGAUUAUGGAGAGAGAUGUGCUAACAGGAGCUCAUGAUUAGACAGAAACAUGCUAACGCUAGCUCUCAGGUAGACCGCCUGCUGUACUUAGUCCAACGUUAUGAAAGCUAUCCUAGAAAGGCUAGCAUAACAAACCCAAUAACCUGUUAAGAGUCCUUGGGUCUGCCACAAUAGCUGGCAACAUAGAAGGAAAUAUGUGACCCGUUUUAGGAAACUAGGCGUAUGUUGCAGGUCACUACUUCACAGGAGAGUUGUAAACAUCUGAGUGUGCCAGAGUGCAGAAUAACUGAUGAAUUUACGAACGCUGAACACCCGUUGAAUAUGGCUGGUGUCAGUAAAUGUCAGCAAAAAAAUAAAUUGCUGCCAGGAACACAUUUACAGUCACCAACGCUCUGGAUAACAUGAAAACAGCCGAAACAGCUCUGCCAGGGCUGGUAAAAAUGGUCCGAGUUUGGGUUGGGGUUAAAGUUUAAGAUGAUUAUUACGGCAUUGCACACGGUCAGUGUGAACCAGAGUGACUUGACACAGCGGGCCAAGCAAUCUGUACAAACAAAACAGAAACGUUCACAGGACGUCUUAUUUAAUGAAAGGGGUUGAAGUCUGCUGUGAAACAUUCAUCCAUGUAUACCGGUAAGAGUCUAGCUACAGUUUCAGAUAUUAUACUUUUCUAAUUUUGUCAGAAAGUUGUUUCCAUUGCAAGUUAAAGCGUACUGUUAGCUAGAUAGCUGACGUGAGAUGACUGGCUCGCUAGCUAACAUUAUGUGUAUGAUGUUCUCUCGGAAUGCCAUUUCGCAUCGCUAGUUAUAGCCCAAUGUUAGCUAACUAGCUAACAUUGACCCUAUUUGGUUCAUUUUAGCUAGCAAUGACAAUCGGUUUGUAUUGCUAGCAUUUUAUGGAUUGGGAUUAUGGUUCAUUGUUUAGCAAGAUAAACUUUUGUCUAAACAAAAGACCCCAAGUUAAAGCUCACUUUUAGCUAGCUAGCUGACGACCAAUCAAGUUACUCAGGUGUCUGACGGUGAUUACGACCAUCUAUUGUAUAAUAAUGCUAAAAUAUUUGCAUCUGGAAUGUGUCUUUCAGCAUCAGUAGAACACACACCGGACUCUCCUCCAUCAAUCAUAGAAGGAGAAUGGUCUAAUUCCUCCCAUCAAAAAGAGAGCUGGCCCAAGCAGAGGUUACUCCCAAAGCAUGAGGAGCGUGACCUUCAUCAACGACUACACAGAGGAUAAUAGGACAAAAACACUUGGUGGAAAGAUGCUGCUGCCAUGUGACAAAAGCAGCUCUACAAGGAAUCAAUGACAAACCUUGCUUCGAUGCUCUGGAGCCUGGUGUCAUCAUCAUCAAACGUUCAGACUCAGUCGGGAACAGGUUUCAGCUGCUGCGCAAUGCUGACAUCAUUCCUCCCGUAGAUGAUCUGCCUGUAGAAGCACCGUAUCUUUUUGAGAAGAUCGGGGAGUUUUGCGACAGAGGCUAUGGACAUCACAUGCCCUGCACCAAAGUCAAGGCCAGGACAGAAACAGGCUCUCCGAAUAUAGAUUCCCUUGUUCAUGCGUGGUUCAGAAGGACCAGUCAUCAGCACUAUCUGCAGUGCCUCUAUUCACAUGACUCUCUCCACAUGUUGCUUUUUAUUUAUUAUAUAUUUAAUUUACCCCCGAUUGUAUGCAUAUCUGCCUCAUCAUUUGUUUCACGAGCUGAAAUAAAAAGAUCACAGAAAUGUUCAAUACGCACAAAAA